rnacentral:rRNA from 1 species
GACGGAGGAUGCAAGCGUUAUCCGGAAUGAUUGGGCGUAAAGCGUCCGCAGGUGGCAAAUCAAGUCUGCUGUUAAAGCGCAGGGCUUAACUCUGUAAAGGCAGUGGAAACUGAUUAGCUAGAGUGUGGUAGGGGCAGAGGGAAUUCCCAGUGUAGUGGUGAAAUGCGUAGAGAUUGGGAAGAACAUCGGUGGCGAAGGCGCUCUGCUGGACCAUAACUGACACUCACAGGACGAAAGCUAGGGGAGCGAAUGGG